rnacentral:rRNA from 1 species
CAAGUCGAACGGCAGCGCGGGGCAACCUGGCGGCGAGUGGCGAACGGGUGAGUAAUAUAUCGGAACGUACCCAAGAGUGGGGGAUAACGUAGCGAAAGUUACGCUAAUACCGCAUACGAUCUAAGGAUGAAAGUGGGGGAUCGCAAGACCCCAUGCUCCUGGAGCGGCCGAUAUCUGAUUAGCUAGUUGGUGAGGUAAAGGCUCACCAAGGCGACGAUCAGUAGCUGGUCUGAGAGGACGACCAGCCACACUGGAACUGAGACACGGUCCAGACUCCUACGGGAGGCAGCAGUGGGGAAUUUUGGACAAUGGGCGCAAGCCUGAUCCAGCAAUGCCGCGUGAGUGAAGAAGGCCUUCGGGUUGUAAAGCUCUUUUGUCAGGGAAGAAACGGUAGAGGCUAAUAUCCUUUGCUAAUGACGGUACCUGAAGAAUAAGCACCGGCUAACUACGUGCCAGCAGCCGCGGUAAUACGUAGGGUGCAAGCGUUAAUCGGAAUUACUGGGCGUAAAGCGUGCGCAGGCGGUUUUGUAAGUCUGUCGUGAAAGCCCCGGGCUCAACCUGGGAAUUGCGAUGGAGACUGCAAGGCUUGAAUCUGGCAGAGGGGGGUAGAAUUCCACGUGUAGCAGUGAAAUGCGUAGAGAUGUGGAGGAACACCGAUGGCGAAGGCAGCCCCCUGGGUCAAGAUUGACGCUCAUGCACGAAAGCGUGGGGAGCAACAGGAUUAGAUACCCUGGUAGUCCACGCCCUAAACGAUGUCUACUAGUUGUCGGGUUUUAAUUAACUUGGUAACGCAGCUAACGCGUGAAGUAGACCGCCUGGGGAGUACGGUCGCAAGAUUAAAACUCAAAGGAAUUGACGGG